UUUUGAGAUUUAGCCUUUUUUGUAUAACAGAUGUCAGUUGGGUGUUUAGGAAGUUUAGGUAGGAAAUUUUUUCUGUUGUUUUAGCUGAUGCUGCUGUUGGUGCCGGAUCCUUGAGCAUCUCCAGCUGCUAGUGUGUGAAAUUUUGAUGAUCCUUGAAGUCUUGUUAAGAAAUUUUUAGAUAAAAUUUAUCGUUUUGCACCGUGAAAACAUCCGGGGAACCUUAUUGUGCGAUGCAGCUAUUUCCGUUGGUUGUAAACAGUUUUUGAUCCAAUUGGAAUUGAGGGGAUUUGAGCCCCGGGCCUGCCGUGUGAGGACCGGCGCCGUUGUCGCCUCGGCCACCGGACCGGAACGGGUAAAGAUACAGAUACCUGCUAUUAUGCCGACUCUCCUGCUAGAGCAAUAAUAUAAGGUGUUAUCAAUUUCAAUGCUCGUAACUGUUGUUUUCUGAAGGGAAGAUUCUGCUAUUUCUGCAGAUCGCAUUGAUGAAGGAUUCAGGAUGGAUGCAUGACCAUCACAAAAUUGAAUCUCCUCUUUUAUUCCUAAAUUUUUUUUUUAUUCAUAAAGAACGGCCUGGCCGUAUUGCAUUAUUCUUAAAUUAUUUCGACGUGAUAAAACAAGUAAUAGUUGUAGAUUUGUUGCAUUUAAUUGAUUUUGGAAUUACGAAACGAUUGUUAGUAAGCUGGAUGUUUGGUAAAUUCGGUGUGAAGCAAAAGCUAUUCACUGCAAAAACUAAAAAUAUGACAGCAAUGCUGAUGAAUAUCAAAUUACCAGCAGAGAUACAAAAAAAGUUCCGUUCAUUCCACAAUUUAAGACAUUGGAGAGGAUCAGAGUUUGCCUCAUUUCAAUUUUACGGAUCUGUUGUUGUCCUUAAAGAUGUAUUGAGUGAACAACAUUAUAAUCCUUUAUGUUAUAUUUUUGUAGUAUUACACUUUUGUCACCAUAGAUUUACAAAGUGCAUUGGCCAUUAGCAAAUUCCUUCUUUCAGCUAUUCAUCAAAAAAUAUCAAGCUUUAUACGGUACAGAAUUUAUUUCAAGCAAUGUGCACAACGUUUUACACAUUUAUGUAGAAGUUGAUCAGUUUGGCCCACUUCAUACAUUAUCUUCAUAUCCUUUUGAAAAUGAACGACAACAUAUAAAACGAUUACUGCCAAGUAGUUCAAAAUGUUUGCAACAGACUAUACAUCGAAUUUCGGAACGCGAGACUUUCAAUGCGUAUCAACAUAAUAAGCAGGCAAAGUAUUCCUCCAUUAAUCAGAGGGGAAAUAUAACUACACUUCAUGUACGCGAAGGAUUUUGUUUAAAAAAUUAUCAUUGUAACGCAUGUCUUUUAACGAAAUCGGGUAGCGUAUGCCAAUACGUUAAUGCAGUUCUUCGAGAAACCUCCGUUGAUAUAUUUGCAAAAAAAUAACUAUUCCCAACCGUGGAUGAUUUAAACUAUCCGUUCAAUUCUUAAUUUUAAAAUAUACAUCGUGGUAAUAUUAAUGAUUUAGCAGAAAGUGUAACAACUGUAGGGAGUUAGGAUAUAAACUGUAAAUUUGUAUUAGUACCCAUUUCUCAGGAGCAUCAGUAUAACUUAAUCCCCUUAAUUCAUACGUUAGUUGAAUAAAAAAUUACAGUCAUAUUUUAAGCGGA